rnacentral:rRNA from 1 species
CACGUAGGAGGCAAACGUUAUCCGGAUUUACUGGGCGCAAAGCGCGUGUAGGUGGCUUGUCGCGUCUGCCGUGAAAACCCGAGGCUCAACCUCGGGCGUGCGGUGGGUACGGGCAGGCUAGAGUGUGGUAGGGGAGACUGGAACUCCUGGUGUAGCGGUGAAAUGCGCAGAUAUCAGGAAGAACACCGAUGGCGAAGGCAGGUCUCUGGGCCAUUACUGACACUGAGAAGCGAAAGCAUGGGUAGCGAACAGGAUUAGAUA